rnacentral:lncRNA from 1 species
UUGACGCUUCUUGUCGCUAAAAUUCUUCUUGUCGUUAUUAGUGAGACCGCUAUUUUUAGAUUACAGGUGGUCAUUUACACCACACGUAUAACCUGUGUAGUGAUUUUUAUUUUACGAUAAAUUUAUGAAUGAACGAUAUUUUAUGAAUGAACAAGAGCACCUGACCUCUUUCUGAAACACCACAUUAAACAUAUAAAAUCGUAUUUAUUAAGAUAUAAUUCAGUCAAAUUUUCA